rnacentral:rRNA from 1 species
UGGGGAAUAUUGCACAAUGGGCGCAAGCCUGAUGCGGCGACGCCGCGUGAGGGAUGACGGCCUUCGGGUUGUAAACCUCUUUCAGCAGGGAAGAAGCGCAAGUGACGGUACCUGCAGAAGAAGCGCCGGCUAACUACGUGCCAGCAGCCGCGGUAAUACGUAGGGCGCAAGCGUUGUCCGGAAUUAUUGGGCGUAAAGAGCUCGUAGGCGGUUUGUCGCGUCUGCUGUGAAAACGCGAGGCUCAACCUCGCGCCUGCAGUGGGUACGGGCAGACUAGAGUGCGGUAGGGGACACUGGAAUUCCUGGUGUAGCGGUGGAAUGCGCAGAUAUCAGGAGGAACACCGGUGGCGAAGGCGGGUCUCUGGGCCGUAACUGACGCCGAGGAGCGAAAGCAUGGGGAGCGAACA